rnacentral:rRNA from 1 species
AGCGAACGCUGGCGGCAGGCUUAACACAUGCAAGUCGAGCGGGCACUUUCGGGUGUCAGCGGCGGACGGGUGAGUAACGCGUGGGAACGUGCCCUCUGGUUCGGAAUAACUCAGGGAAACUUGAGCUAAUACCGGAUACGCCCUUUUGGGGAAAGGCUUGCUGCCGGAGGAUCGGCCCGCGUCUGAUUAGCUAGUUGGUGGGGUAACGGCUCACCAAGGCGACGAGCAGUAGCUGGUCUGAGAGGAUGAUCAGCCACACUGGGACUGAGACACGGCCCAGACUCCUACGGGAGGCAGCAGUGGGGAAUAUUGGACAAUGGGCGCAAGCCUGAUCCAGCCAUGCCGCGUGAGUGAUGAAGGCCUUAGGGUUGUAAAGCUCUUUUAUCCGGGACGAUAAUGACGGUACCGGAGGAAUAAGCCCCGGCUAACUUCGUG